CGUUAGAACGGAUGCGGUUCGUCGAGACUUGAAACAGAGAGGGCACUGAACCGGAUGAGGAGGCAGACUCACACCAGGCGCCGGCUAGAGAAACAAGCAUCAAGACACAACUGAUCGAUUGAUUACUUACCUGGAGUGGAUCAGGGGGAGGCGGAGCCGGAAGUCGAGUAAUAGCGGCCGUUACUCUUGUGUGUUCAUCAGAAUGCCACCAGUUGAGAAACUUCAAAAAGAACACACCCACAGGAACAGAUUUCGUCAAAAGCCCAAUAACGAACUCAAGCAAUCUCAUCACACUAUUGAGACAUCAACAACCGAAUUGUACAAUAAGUAUAUUUGUCUCGAUAAGCAAACCCGCCGUUCGACGACUGAACAGUUUCUAGUGAUAAAUCCUCCUUCGUUUGUCUUGCAAGUUGUACUCCUAGUGAUGCAAUUGAGCAUAGUUAUGAUGAGAAGUUGCGAGCAUCACUGACCGGCCAGCAUGAGAAAAGGCGAGUAGAACUUGGAGUACUUGAAAAGGUACAGCAGUUGGUACAACAGUAUCAAGCUCUAUAAUGUCAAUUUUUGAUAUCAAUAUGUUUUCAAUCGACUUAAUUAAUAGAGUAAAUAUUUAAUAAAA